rnacentral:tRNA from 1 species
ACCAGCAUGCCCAGCUAUAACUCUUAAUCUAAGGGAAAGUUCAAAACUAUGGUAGUUAGUACAGGCUCUGAGGAAGACAAAGGUAUCCUGGAUGAACCUGUUCUAAGACUCCCAUUUGUCUCUCAGGAGGAUAUGGGUCUCUGAUCUGCCUGAUGAUAUGGGGAAUUCUCUUCUACCUCCUCCUUAAAGUUCCCAGGCUAAUAAAUCAGCCUCUUCUUUAGUUACAGAUGUACAAGAGGCUAGGAACUGUGCAAAUGAACAAUGUUUUUAAAAUGAAAGGAAACCACCUUAGAAAGGUUAUUCCCCCUUCAACAGAACCAAAUGGACUAUAAUACUAGUCACAGACUAGAAAUGAUAUCUGAUAUGCUAGCUGCUCUUACCAGGGAAAUAAAGAGGGUAUGUUGAGUCUUUUGUAAGUAUACUAAUAUAGGUCCAUCUUCUAGGGAGGGAGAGGCGACAACAUUUCAUCUGUCAAUCAGCUCCAGAUAUUCAGCAUAAGCUACAAAAACUUCAGACAGGGCCUCAGACACCUAUAACCGAAUUGCUAGAUAUGAUCUUUUUUGUGUUCAACAGUCAGGACCCAGAGGAGAGAAAACAGAAAGUCUGGUUAUAGCCAUUGCAAUUGGUAAUGCUUUAAACCUACCCAGGUCAUCUAAGGAAAAACCCAAGGACAACUAAGAAAAUGAUUCCUGUUUCAAGAGUAAAAAGACUAGAUACUGGGCACAAGAUUACACCAAACUUGCACCUAGGCCCUGUUCCUGUGUCACUGGAGGUUUGACUGUCCCCUCUCCCAGACAGGGGCUAGGCCAACCAAAACCCUCAUUUCCUGCUCAGGACUGAAGUGGCCCAGGGGAACCUGCAAUGCCCUUGUCCAUAGAUAUCACCAUCUCCUCUGAAGAACUCUGGGUAACCUUAGAUAUCAUGAGUGAGCCAAUUCAACUGCUUAUAGUUACAAGGGCAGUUCAUUCUGUUUUGAUUUCCUUCUCUGGAAAACUCUAAGUCCAUAUUUGGGCUCGAAGGAACCCCUAGUCGGAGAUUCUUUACUCCUCUGAUGUGUCACUUUGAAGGUCAAAUGUUUAACCUUGAGUUUCUAAUUGUCCCACAGUAUCCUACUCCCUUGCUAAGAAGAGGUUUAUUAACAAAAUUGGAGGCAAGUCUCAAAUUCCAGCUAAGGCCAAAAUGGAGUUUACUUGCUGGGACUACAGGAGUUCUCCCUGACCAAAUUAGCCAACAGCUGGCUGAGGAGUGGGCUGGUUGUGGUGUUGGAGAUGGAAUCCAAGGCCUUGUGCAUACUAGGCAACCACUCUAUCACUGAGCUACACCUUAGACCCAUGGCAGUGAACCUAUGGCAACCGUGCCAAAGUGGGCUAUUUGUAUCAUUGAAAGAUCUAAAAGAAAUGAAAAUAAUGCAAGCUGUGUGUGGUGGCGCACACCUAUAAUCCCAGCACUUGGGAGGUUGAGGCAGGAGGAUGGCCAUGAGUUUGAGACCAGCCUGGACUACACAAUGAGACCCUGUCUCAGAAGAAAAUAAAGGAAGAAAAGAAAUGAAAAUUAUGGGAAUGAAGGGGUCAUCUCAUGUACAGAUAAGAAUUCAGGAUGAAGAGGUGAUGCGCCAGGAAGCAAUGUUAAAGGGAGGGACUUCUGGGAAGAUGGCAGAAUGGUAAGCAGUCACAAAGCAGCCUCUCCAAGAUUCAGAAUGCAGACACUGGAAAACCUUAGAAAGAAAAGAAGAAGAGAGGUGGAUCUCCGGGACCCAGGAAGAAUCUGGAGGGAAAAUUGGAGCCUGCAGAGAAAUUGAAGAAACUGACCACAAUGCAGAAAAAGGAAGGGGAAAUCUGCACUCUCUCCCCAGCUCUUGGCUCAUGAGAAGGGAAGAUUGACUCUACAGAGACAUAGUGGAAGUGGGGAACUCCAGAGGCCUUCAGGAAGAAAUGCACUAGUGGAACAGAGCAGUGGAUGCUGUGUGCUACAACAGUUGAUGCCGUGAGGGGAGCAGCUUUCCUGCACCACCCCUUUCCUGCCUUUCCACAAGCCUAACACAAUGGAGCCUUCUGAAGAUGGACUGAAAUCUCAAAACCGUGACCCUAAACAAACCUUUUUUCCUUUAAGUUGUUUAUCUCAGGGCCUCACCAGUCACCUGUGAUGUUCCUGCCCCAGCCUUCCAGAGUGUUGGGAUCUCAGGUGUGCAUCCCAUCCCUGGCUAUUGCUUCUUAACUCAGAUGUGCUUGUGAUGCACCAUGAACAUUCCUCUCUAUUAGUGAAAGUCUCUCAUUAAUGGAUACCCAGUUGUUCCAGCACCUUGUGUUUAAAAAAAAGUGUUCUAUUGGGCUGGAGACUUAGCUCAGUUUUCCCAAAUGGAACUAGGCUGAUCUCAUCGGAGAAGGAACGUGGG